AAUAUUGGACAAUGGGCGCAAGCCUGAUCCAGCCAUGCCGCGUGAGUGAUGAAGGCCUUAGGGUUGUAAAGCUCUUUCAGCGGGGAAGAUAAUGACGGUACCCAAGAAGAAAGCCCCGGCUAACUACGUGCCAGCAGCCGCGGUAAUACGUAGGGGGCGAGCGUUGUCCGGAAUUACUGGGCGUAAAGGGUGCGUAGGCGGCCCUUUAAGUCAGAUGUGAAAGGCUGCGGCUUAACCGCAGAACUGCAUUUGAAACUGGAGGGCUUGAGUGUCGGAGAGGGUAGUGGAAUUCCCAGUGUAGCGGUGAAAUGCGUAGAUAUUGGGAGGAACACCAGUGGCGAAGGCGACUACCUGGACGAUAACUGACGCUGAGGCACGAAAGCUAGGGGAGCAAACAGG
rnacentral:rRNA from 1 species